rnacentral:rRNA from 1 species
CUGAUGCAGCCAUGCCGCGUGUAUGAAGAAGGCCUUCGGGUUGUAAAGUACUUUCAGUCGUGAGGAAGGUAGUGUGUUUAAUAGAUGCAUUAUUUGACGUUAGCGACAGAAGAAGCACCGGCUAACUCCGUGCCAGCAGCCGCGGUAAU